GAUGAACGCUGGCGGCGUGCUUAACACAUGCAAGUCGUACGGAAAGGCUCCUGCGUGCGGGGGUACUCGAGGAGCGAGCGAGUGAGUCACGAGUGGGUGAUCUGCCCUGCAGUUCUAGCUAAGCGUGGGAAACUGGGUCUAAUACCGGAUAGUACCACAUUAUGGAUGGUGUGGGGGAAAGUUUUUCGGUGUGGGAUGAGCUGCCGGCCUAUAGGCUGGUUGGUGGGGUAAUGGCCUCCCAGGGCGUCGACGGGUGGCCGGCCUGGGGGGUUGCACGGCCACAUGGGGACGGGGAUACGGCCCAGACUCCUACGGGAGGCAGCAGUGGGGAUUAUGGACCAAGGGGGGCAGGCCUGUGGCAGCAACGCCGGUGGGGGGAUGACGGCUUUCGGGUUGUAAACGCCUUCCGCAAGGGACGAAGCGCAAGUGACGGUACCUGGAGAAGAAGCACCGGCUAACUACGUG
rnacentral:rRNA from 1 species